AACGAACGCUGGCGGCAGGCUUAACACAUGCAAGUCGAACGCCCCGCAAGGGGAGUGGCAGACGGGUGAGUAACACGUGGGAACGUGCCCUAAGGUUCGGAAUAUUCCCGGGAAACUGGGAGCAAUACCGAAUGUGUCCGAGAGGAGAAAGAUUUAUCGCCUUAGGAUCGGCCCGCGUCGGAUUAGCUAGUUGGUGGGGUAAUGGCCUACCAAGGCGACGAUCCGUAGCUGGUCUGAGAGGACGACCAGCCACACUGGGACUGAGACACGGCCCAGACUCCUACGGGAGGCAGCAGUGGGGAAUCUUGGACAAUGGGCGCAAGCCUGAUCCAGCCAUGCCGCGUGGAUGGUGAAGGCCUUAGGGUUGUAAAAUCCUUUCGCCGAGGACGAUAAUGACGGUACUCGGAGAAGAAGCUCCGGCUAACUUCGUGCCAGCCGCCACAGUAACAC
rnacentral:rRNA from 1 species